CCCCGGUAAACGGCGGCCGUAACUAUAACGGUCCUAAGGUAGCGAAAUUCCUUGUCGGGUAAGUUCCGACCUGCACGAAUGGCGUAAUGAUGGCCAGGCUGUCUCCACCCGAGACUCAGUGAAAUUGAACUCGCUGUGAAGAUGCAGUGUACCCGCGGCAAGACGGAAAGACCCCGUGAACCUUUACUAUAGCUUGACACUGAACAUUGAGCCUUGAUGUGUAGGAUAGGUGGGAGGCUUUGAAGUGUGGACGCCAGUCUGCAUGGAGCCGACCUUGAAAUACCACCCUUUAAUGUUUGAUGUUCUAACGUGGACCCGUAAUCCGGGUUGCGGACAGUGUCUGGUGGGUAGUUUGACUGGGGCGGUCUCCUCCUAAAGAGUAACGGAGGAGCACGAAGGUUGGCUAAUCCUGGUCGGACAUCAGGAGGUUAGUGCAAUGGCAUAAGCCAGCUUGACUGCGAGCGUGACGGCGCGAGCAGGUGCGAAAGCAGGUCAUAGUGAUCCGGUGGUUCUGAAUGGAAGGGCCAUCGCUCAACGGAUAAAAGGUACUCCGGGGAUAACAGGCUGAUACCGCCCAAGAGUUCAUAUCGACGGCGGUGUUUGGCACCUCGAUGUCGGCUCAUCACAUCCUGGGGCUGAAGUAGGUCCCAAGGGUAUGGCUGUUCGCCAUUUAAAGUGGUACGCGAGCUGGGUUUAGAACGUCGUGAGACAGUUCGGUCCCUAUCUGCCGUGGGCGCUGGAGAACUGAGGGGGGCUGCUCCUAGUACGAGAGGACCGGAGUGGACGCAUCACUGGUGUUCGGGUUGUCAUGCCAAUGGCACUGCCCGGUAGCUAAAUGCGGAAGAGAUAAGUGCUGAAAGCAUCUAAGCACGAAACUUGCCCCGAGAUGAGUUCUCCCUGAGACUUAGAGUCUCCUGAAGGAACGUUGAAGACGACGACGUUGAUAGGCCGGGUGUGUAAGCGCAGCGAUGCG
rnacentral:rRNA from 2 species